UGCCAGCAGCCGCGGUAAUACGAAGGGACCUAGCGUAGUUCGGAAUUACUGGGCUUAAAGAGCUCGUAGGUGGUUAAAAAAGUUGAUGGUGAAAUCCCAAGGCUUAACUCUGGAACUGCCAUCAAAACUUUUCAGCUAGAGUAUGAUAGAGGAAAGCAGAAUUUCUAGUGUAGAGGCGAAAUUCGUAGAUAUUAGAAAGAAUACCAAUUGCGAAGGCAGCUUUCUGGAUCAUUACUGACACUGAGGAACGAAAGCAUGGGUAGCGAAGAGGAUUAGAUA
rnacentral:rRNA from 1 species